GAUGGAUUCUCCUCCAAACUCAGACAGGAGAGAGUGACAGCAGACGUGUAAAAGUGAACACACACUAAUAAUUAGAUUAGGAAAGACGUUCUUUGAUUGAUAAAGAUGAGGAAUAAGUGCAGACCACGCUGUUUGUUUGUAAAAUAGAUAAAUAAAGACUGAAUUCGGAGUGGACCUCCCUGUGUGUCUCUGUCUGUUGUGGACUUUCCCGGUGAGUUGUUAGCUAACUAGCUAAAACUGCGACCUAGCACUGCUAAUGUUUGUACCAAUAUUAAAGUAACUAUGACUUAAAUGUUGUUUACUAAAAACAUUCGGGAAGAUUUAACUGAAAGAGAUUAUUAAAGAAGUAGUGUCUAACUUUAAAACCGUCAUAUUGUGAUUUAGCUAACCGAGUUAGCUACUACAGGGUGCUAAGCUAACUUAGCUAACAGGUUGAAUUUCAUGUUUGUUGAUUCAGUCAAAGUUUACCUCAGUGGUUACAGACAGACUGAUAUAAGAAAGUUUAUACCUCAUGUUCUGUGUAACACAUAUCGAAAAAUAUGGUUUUAUUAAUAUUUAAUGUAGUUAAAAAGCAGAACUUUGAGUUGAUGUUGAGAAUUUAAUGUCACAUUACAGUGAUUAAAAAGAGAAACUGGAAGAAACUGUGAAACAGAAACAUGACUGACUGUUCUGACACCUUUGUUUUCUCUGUUACAGGAUGGUUUGUUGUUGCUGUGUGAGACUGACCCAGAAAUUCAAAGUACCCUCCAUUAUACUGCCUCCUGAUUCAUCCUCAUCUCCCCAUCAUCAUCAUCAUCAUCAUCAUCCCCUCUCCUGACACCCCUCUGGGAUCAGGAUGGACUCUAACCUGGUUAACGUUUGGGUAGGAACUCUGACCAAGCUGUAGAUUAAGUCAAACUGAUUCAUAUUAUUGGGAAACUGAUUUAAUCUCUUGGUCAUAUGUGUCGAUGUUUACACUUGUAACAGAGGUUAAAGGUUAAAACACAGAGGAUCAGCGUAUUUGGAGCGUGGCAGCAGGGUUGUGUGUCACGCAGCAAAUAGGUUUCCAUUCUAAUCAAAGCAGCAAAGCGUACAGGAUGAGUAUCAGCUCCGUCGCAGCAUCGCAUCGAGAGCAGUUCUGCUAAAGAUACACAGCGAGUCGAUUUUUGCAGAGAAGAUCGUUCUAGACAGGAAGUCAACCACAAAAAAACAUGCAUGUCAUCUGAUAUUUUAAAAUAAAACAGCUAGGGGUGGGUAUUGCCAAGGACCUCACGAUACGAUACGCAUCACGAUACUUGAGUCACGAUACGAUAUGAUAUUGCGAUAUCCAAAUGUUUGCGAUAUAUUGCGAUAUUCUACAUAGUUCACUGAAAAAUGUAAAAGGCAUUAUGCAUCUUAAAAUCCCAGUUGUAUGUACAUCAGAUGAUAGUGAUAAUUCAUGGGACAAACAGUCAAAACAAUGUAAUUCAAAUUAUCGAUGCCAUUUUAUUGUAAGUGCAAGUUACAACAUAUUUGCGUGAACAACACACUGUCUGAAACACAUUGAAAAGUGCAGUGUGCAUUAUUCUUAGUCUCCCUGAGCACAAUUAUGACACAAACUGCAGUGUGGGUCAGUGUCCACAUACUGAAACUGAAUUGAAACCCCAGUGGAUUAUGUUUCUUCUGAAUUUAGAGUAAAUACUCAAAAUAAAAUGCAGUGUCUCACACACACUGAAAUUGAAAAUGCAAAAUAAAGUGCAGCUUCUUGCCUUUGACCUUAAAUGACAAAAUUUAAUUCACAGUUGUCUCCCUGGACAAGAACUGUGUCACUGUUUGAACACUUCACUGAAUGUAUGUAAAAAAUAAAAUAUGCAAUGUUGCUGCCAGUGUGGCUCUCGUACAUGGCUCUCGUCUGCAACACAUGUGUUACCAGCUCCCAUUCGGCAUUAAUGUGGUGCGCCGUAAUUGUAAUGUAGGACUCGGUGGCUCGUGAUGUCCAACCGUCACAGGACAGUGCGACUCUCGGAGCAGAGCUAAGAACUGUUUUUAUUGUCUCCUUCACCUCGUCAUACAUUUUUGGCACAGCUACGUUAGCCAUGUACUUACGCUGCGGCAUCACAUAGCGCGGCUCCAAAGUAUGAAGCAUCCACCGAAAGCCGACGUUUUCCACAACGUUGUAUGGGCGCAAAUCUUUACAAAGAAAAUGCACCAUCGCCUCUGUGAUCCCCCGGGCUCGGGUUGAAGUAGAUGGGAGGACUUUGGCGAUGUCCAGUGUAGUUUGCUUUGGAUCGGAAGGUUUCGGUGGCUCCGGCUGAGCUAAUAUGUCGGGGUGGUGUCUUGCUAAAUGAGUUCUCAAGUUUGUUGUGUUACCCGAAUAUCUAAUGGGAGCGACACAGAGUUUGCAAAGCGCGUACUCUUUGUCCAGCUCAUUGUGUGUUUCUCCUUUCCUUUGGAAUCCAAAGUAUCUCCAAACAUCUGCCUUAAAGUUCGAGGGCGUUUCUAGUUUAACGUUACCAGCCAUGCUUGAUUGUUUUUUUCCCGGCUCCUCUUCCUCACUGCAACCGGCGGGGGAAAAAAGAGAAGAAGAAGUGAGGUAGCGGUACAGCGACACCUAGCGGAGCGGAGGUGCGGAAGUCGUACUGGAUUUGUUAACCCGUCUGAAACCUGAUUUAUUAUUUGAACAAAAAAUCGAUAUUAAUAUUUUGAAUAUCGAUAUUGAAUCGGAAGUCAAAGUAUCGCGAUAUAUCGCCAUAUCGAUAUUUUUGCCCACCCCUAAAAACAGCAUAUGUGAACUCCCGCCUGUGUAUCAGUUGGUGUAGAUGAGAAAUCCUUCCUGGUUCUGGAUUUAUCAGUAACACAGAACAAUCCGAUGGUCAAUCCCUGAUCCAUGUGGACCCCAACAGGACUUUGACCUGCUAACUCUGUCUGAAGGGAACAGCAGAAAGGAACAGAGUUUACUUUAUUAAACACCAGGAAACCUGCAAAAACACAAACUGGAAAAUCACUUCAAUAUCAACAGUCACUGAAUUAUAUCCACAUUAUCAGGAAAUGGACCACAGAGAGGAAAAACAACCUGUUGUGUGCAUGUUGUUUCCUCUGCUGCACUACGCUGCUGCUACGCUCCAAACACACUGAUCCUGUAUGUGAAACCCAACGCUGCUCUAAGGAACGUGCUCAAUACGCCGAUCCUUUAUGUUUUGGGCUUAAGGGUGAACAUAACUUUUGGACGUGAAGAGUAUGUUAUUUUGAAUGUGAAAGGGAAUAUUCUGGAUCGUAUGUUAUAAAUCAAACACAAGGAGUAAGAAAAAUUCAAUCCAGUAAGUUUGAUCAAGAAGAAAUCAGUGUUGGUGUCAAUUAUUAACGGGAGGCUGAAGUAUGAUUAUUUCUUUAUGGCGUAUCAGCUCUUCAUUGAACCUCGACUCAGAUCUGCCCACGCAACCUCACUUUGAAGGCUUUAGAUUGUAAAAAUCCAAUUGUAGGCUUUUAAAGGCUCUAUUUCAUCUCUAUUAGAUCUUUUAUAAUAUGAUGAUGCCUACAUUUGGAUAGGACAAUGUUUAGCAUAACUUUGACAGCUUGAGCCAUAUUUAUGAAGAGACGCUCUUUAACUGAUGUUGAAAUGCAGUUUGUGGCUUCCUAAUGUGCCCUCUUUCAAACCAUCUCUGUGCUGGAAAAGCUCACAGUGCUGUCUCUUAGCAACCUUUGUACCACCUGCUAUGAUGGGUGGAAGGUUGGAGCCUCAUGUGUGUGUGUGUGUGUGUGUGUGUGUGUGUGUGUGUGGAAGAUACAGAAGGUAAAAGGCAGAAGCAAUCGGUGGGGAGGUUUAAGAUGCAGUGACUGACAACUUCCCAAGUUCAGUAGCUGAUAGAGAGUAAAAACUGAGAUUUAGUGAAGGAGAGAAAGUUUCUUUUUCGAAGUGAAGAGACUGAAAUUCAGAGAUUUCAUCAGCCGCUGAAGGAUACAGAAGAUGAAGAGGAGUAGAGCGAGAGUGAAGUGUGUCGGGCAGACGUUAGUUAGAGAUGGAGGGUGACAGAGGACAGCGAGAGGAGGGAGGAUAAAUAAUUAAUCUUAACAUCACAAGUGUCCUUUUUUCAUACCCAAAUGAGAAACACAAUGCAAUAUUAACAUAAGCGUGCGCGUCCAAGGCAGCUCUCGCUUUGACCAUGAGCUGUAGCGGCAUGUUUCAUUAGUUCUUUUUGAGUCUGACAUAAAAAAAGGGACCGCAAGUUUAUUUUUGGGGAGGGGGGAGUCGAGGAGAAAUGAAGCGAGAUUAAAGAGGGAGAGAGGGAUGAAAGAUGAAUGGAUGGAGGUCUGAAACAGCUUGUUUAUAAUACAUCAGAGAGAGACAGAGACACAGAGAGUGCAUUAGACAAAAAAGUGAGAGGAAAAAGAGAAAAAGGGGCGCGAAGAGGAAGUUAAAAACAAACUCUGGAGAAAAGAUGGAGAGAUGACAGGUACAAACAUAUCCUUGAAUGCUGCUGCUGCUGCUGCCUCAUCUUUAAUUUAACCAGAUUAAAUCUUUGAACGGAUCAGAGGGUUCAACGAUGAGGUGCUUGUUAAUUACACUUGGUCCUGGCAGCCUUGAAGAAUACAAGGAACAAGAAUGUGACUAAAAUCGAAAGGGCAGGAGGACUCGAUGAUAAAAAUAAGAAUUAAUUGAAUUUACAUAGCGCAUGUCGAAGAACCCAAGGUUGCUUUACAACGUGGUACUGAUGAAUUAAAGAUGUUAAUAUUAUAUAUACAUAGGGCUGGACCACAUAACAAUAAUGAUACAUAUCAAAAAUUAAUUUCCCUCAAUACUGAUAUGAAACAUGAUUAAUAUCCUUUUAAAUAGAUGAAUUCUGACAUGUUUUGGUCAACUAUAUGAAUAGCCAAUGAAAAGGGGUCACGCUGAACCAAUCAUGAGCUGAAUUAGAACCAAGUAUCAAACAACUGCGUCGUAGCAGACAGCAGCUACACCCAACCAUAGCACUUUAACAGGUGAAGCAGUUAGGGCUGGGCGAUAUGGGAAAAGUUUAUCACAAUAUUAUUUUCAUAUCAGUCGAUAUCGAUCAAUAUCAGGAUAUAAAAUGAAAUCUAACAGUGUUUAUUGGUCUCAUGUCUUUUCCAACACAAUAAUCUCCUGCAUCUGUGAGGUCUUUGUGUCUCUUUGGCGUUUUGUCGUAAGGCGUCGCUCUAGAGAAAGCCGACUGAAUGGUCGUCUGUUUCAGGCGCCAUGGGCUCCUCGCUCCUCUCGGGGUUUGUAACCUUUUGCGUUGCGCGUGCUCUGCGGCGUGGCGCUGCUUCAGGUGGUGAAAAAGAUUUGAGGUAUUCCCCGACUUUGUGAGAACAUGUACUCGACAUAAUUUACAGUCCACAUUACUCUGCUUCAUGUCCGACCUCCAAAAACCAAAAUACCUCCACACCACCGACGUUUUCCUAACGCCAGUGUUGUGGUUGACAUUGAUGUGGUCAUCUGUUGAGCCUUCAUGGUCAUUUCUGUCGGGGGUAGCACUCAUUUUCUUUGUUUCUCACCAACAGUGCUGUCGGCUUCACCUGUUAAAGUGCUAUGGUUGGGUGGAGCUGCUGUCUGCUACGACGCUGCAGUUGGUUGAUACUUGGUUCUAAUUCAGAACAUGAUUGGUUCAGACCCGGAGAAACUCCCCUUUUCAUUGGCUAUUCUUAUAGUCGACCAAAACAUGACAGAAUGACGACUAUUGAAAAGAAUAUUGAUCAUGUUUUAUAUUGAUAUUGAGGGAAAUUAAUUUCCGUUAUCGUUAUCAUACCUAGGAACAUUUACGAUUGACAAGUGAUUUUUUCAGUAUUGUGAUAUCAACAUGGACGGACAUGAAAAAGAUAUAUGAUAAACUUUUUCCCCUUAUCGCCCAGCCUGAUAUAGACAUGACUAAAAGACAGAUAAAAUAAUGAAUCAAGCACACACUGUUUUUUAUUCAAAGAGGUAUCUCUCCAACACUCAGUAUAAUGCAGAUAAAAUAUAUUUCAUUAUCAAAGUCAAGACUUCCUGUACAAGAAGGAAAACCAGGGGCCUCUUUCUUUCUUCCAAGUGUCCUUGGGUUUCGGAAAAGAUGCUUCAAAUCUCAUUUCUUUCCACUUUUAUUACUUUAGCUCCCAGCGAAGUCGUGCUUCACAGGCAAUUGUUGCAGGGGCCUUGAGUGCAAACAGACUGAAACAGACUCGAGAGAGGACAUGAAUAAGAAAAGCAGGAAGACGCACUCUUAUGAAUGCCAGAUAUUGUCAAGUGUGAAACAAAAGGAGAGAAAAUAUGUGUUUUUUUCUUUUUUUCAUUGUUUAAGAAAUGUAGAGGAGCAAGAGAAACAAGUAGAGAUCUGUGCCGGGCGUCGGAGCUGAGGCACAAAGGCAUCCUCGUUAAAAUCACAAACCACAUGAAAAGUUACGGCUCCUUCCUUCUGUCUCCAGCUGCUCUCAAUCCAAUUAUGGCCUCUGUAGAAAACUUCAUUCCUCUCAUUUAUAUGUAGCUCAUGUUUUAAUCCACAUCAUGUAUGUUUUAUGAGCGCUGAUAAAUAAUAAACGAC